GACGAACGCUGGCGGCGUGCUUAACACAUGCAAGUCGAACGAAGAGCGACGGAAGCUUGCUUCUAUCAAUCUUAGUGGCGAACGGGUGAGUAACGCGUAAUCAACCUGCCCUUCAGAGGGGGACAACAGUUGGAAACGACUGCUAAUACCGCAUACGAUCUAAUCUCGGCAUCGAGGAUGGAUGAAAGGUGGCCUCUACAUGUAAGCUAUCACUGAAGGAGGGGAUUGCGUCUGAUUAGCUAGUUGGAGGGGUAACGGCCCACCAAGGCGAUGAUCAGUAGCCGGUCUGAGAGGAUGAACGGCCACAGUGGGACUGAGACACGGCCCAGACUCCUACGGGAGGCAGCAGUGGGGAAUCUUCCGCAAUGGACGAAAGUCUGACGGAGCAACGCCGCGUGAGUGAUGACGGCCUUCGGGUUGUAAAGCCCUGUUAAUCGGGACGAAAGGCCUUCUUGCGAAUAGUGAGAAGGAUUGACGGUACCGGAAUAGAAAGCCACGGCUAACUACGUG
rnacentral:rRNA from 1 species